UUUUUUUUUUUUUUUUUUUUUGAUUUUUCAAGACAGGGUUUCUCGGUAUAGCUCUGGCUGUCCUGGAACUCACUCUGUAAACCAGGCUGGCUUCGAACUCAGAAAUCUGCCAGCCUCUGCCUCUCAAGUGCUGGGAUUAAAGGCGUGCACCACCACUGCCUGGCUUACCUCUUUUCUUUUUCAUAGGUUAUAAACUGAGGCUUAGAGAAGUGAUUUGCCCAACGUUACCCAGGAAAUGGCAAAGCAGAAAAAACCUCAGGUUUGACUUAAAGAGAGACCUCAUUGCUCCUGGGCCCACCAAGGUAUAGAGACACUAGGGUGUGUGGGGGAGUAGGGGGGGCAACUCCCCACAUUUAUAUCACAGGAGGAGGCACUAGUAUGUUUUCCUUUGAGACAGGAUCUCACCAUGUAGUAGUCCCAGUUGCACGAGAACUGAUACAGACCAAGGUAGCCUCAAACUCACAGAGCUCUGCCUGCUUCUGCUUCCUGAGAGUAUGGCCUGGCUUGUCACUAGUAUCUUAAGGUCAUAUCUAUAGUGACUAGUGUCUAUUCAGGUAAGGUCGUGAACAUUUUUUUUUUAAAUACCUUAAUGAGAGUGAUUCCCUAAAAAAAAAUAUAUUACUACCUUUUUACCUUUUCUUACGAUGCUGAGGGUCAAAAUCUUUUUGACCACUGCUUUUUACACAUUGAUCAUGUGCCCCAUCUCUAAGCCACAACCCUAGCCCUACUUACCGAUCUCAAAUACAAGCACAUAAAACUUUUACUGCCAGUGACUGUGGCAAUGUUCAACCAGUGCCACGUGCUUAGACAAAGUUCUGCCUCAGAUCAGGGAGAAGUAUUGAUCCUCACAACUGCCUUAAAGUGGGGAUCAAGUGUCAGGCUGUUCUCAUCCAAGAGUGAGAAACAGGUUUCCCCAGAAAGACGCGCUUGGAGGGCUGGCUCUGCUGUGGUAUGUGUACUUACCUGUUGCGUCAUCAGACGCUAGCAGCAAGCCUACAUCCUGUGCUAGAGUUUUUCAACGUACUCAACUGUCAUUCUAGGUAGGCUAGUCAUGAGGACCCAGCUGCUCUCUUCUGGGGCGUUAUGUCCCUUAUAUAAACAAACAGCAGGUAGCAGCUUAGUAUGUGACACACAAGUCCCAGCCCAGUACUCUUCAGUCUGUACCUGUGUAUAAAAAUGUUAGGUUACAACUUCAGUCUUGGGUGAAAAACUUGGGGAAGUAGGUAAUGAGGCCACACUCCCACUGAGGACAUUGUUAUACUCAGCAGAGGGUCAUAGUGUUCUACCCUUCCCCUAGUCUCUGUAGACAACUAAUGGUUGCUAAGGGAGAGACAUUUUCUUCAGAAGUGUAGCCACAGGCAAAUGGCGUGUACUCCUGUAAGUAACCCUAACUUAACUCAAUGGUUCACACCAGAAAAGGCCUGAGUAGAAGAGGGACUAGUUAGGAAAGUGGGAUCAGUGGGAAGGAGAAGAUAAGGGACAGUAAGGAAAUAAGCAUGAAUACAUUGCAUGCAUGUAUGAAAAUGUUAUAAUGAAGCCAUUAUGUGUACUUAGUGUAUGAAAUGAACCCAAAGGAGCUAGGCCUGAUGGCUCGUGCCUGUGAUCUCAUCACUUUGAGAGGUUGGAAUAGGAUUGCUCAGUCAUCCUGGACUAUAAGGGUAAGAAAAAUGUACAUUGAAGCACACAUGUGACCCCAGCACUUGAGUGUGGAAGCAGGAGGAUUGUAAAUUCAGUGUUAUGCUUGGUUAAUUUUUAAGUUUGAUAUCUGAUUGGACUACAUAAGACCCUGUCUCAAAAAACAAACUCAACUAAUACAAAAAAACCAUUUCCCACCCCCACCCCCAAAUGUAUGUAUUUCCAGAAAACAAGCCAAUUUCUUAAAGCCUUUUGACUAAGGUCUAAUGGAGAGAUGGUGGUCUGGCUGUUGUCCAGUUUCACCCUAGACCUCAGCCUCAGCUAGAAUAGCAGGGACUAAGGCAUAUGCCAGUUUAUUUGGCUCACUGUUUCUCUGAUCCUUCCCUCUCCAUCCUCACCAGGAUUGGUUACAUGAGUGUAAGGAGAAAUGUGUGCCACUAAACUCCAUCAUGUCCUCCUGAUGCAGGAUCCAGUCAGACUGCCUGGCUAAUUAACAUUUGUGGGCCCCAUUUUUCUCAAGGAGGCAAUACACUUCAUUUAUGGUGUCUGAAGAUUUAAAUGAGAUUAUGUGCUCUGUGUACUUGGCACACAUGUCCAGCCCAUAGGUGCUCUUUAGGAACCAUUAGUUUUCAUUGGAAGGAUUCAGGAUCAGUCCAGAGAAAUAGCUGUCUUGGAAACUGAAAAAUGCAUAAUGUCUCUACCACUGUGCGAAGCUAAGUCCAUUUCCCUUCAUAUACAACUGGUGUGAUCUUCAGUGGUAGCCAGUGCCUUCCACGUGCCCCUCCCAACCUCAUCCAGAGGGCAGGAAGCUGUCCUUGGGCCCGUGGUUAGGAAACCUGUGUCUAUCCAGGUCACCAGGACUACAUAGUGAGACCUGUCUCAGGAAUAAAAACCACAAUGCACUCCGCUUUCCAGGGGUUUUUAUUUUGGAGACCCAGUCAUGCAUACUAAAAUUACAUAUUUUCACCACUUAGAAAAAUGCACUAGAAAAAUAAACUUUUGGUCAAAACACUGAAGUAGGUGAAUCCAUCAUAUGUGCCUAUACUCAAAGCCAAACUGAAUUUCAGUUUGAAGUAAGGGAUGUGACUGGGGACUAAAAUGGUGGCCUAGACUGGUCAGGAAAAUAGCCCAGUUCCCACCCAUCAGAGAGGGUAUCUGAGGUCUUGGCCACUGAGAAGUUUCAAGUAUUUUACCUGUUGGGCCCUUUGUAAUGUGCCAAGAAGCUGAGGCACAUCCACAAGAAUCCAAAGCGGCUACCAGUAACUGCCUGAUGGGAAAAGAUUGAAAACCAGUAAAUUUGGUCACAAACCAGUAAAUGUGAUUCCAGCUGCAAAUUCCACUGGACCUUCCUGUGGAGCAAGUUCCCGCUGAGAAGCAGCAUUUGAUGGUGCUUCUUGCAUUUUGAAGCUGAACAUUUCUGAGUCAGGAGAGCAGAAAGCAGGUUUACAAAGUGAACAGACUGCAGUACUGAGCCUCACCAAGAUGUCUCCCAACAGCUCAUGUGUCUGGUGUUUCUGCCUAACAUGACCACAGCACAACUAUACUUCUAUCAACUGAGUUAGCCUUUUCCUUCCUAAAGGAGGUGUCAUAAGAAAAUCCUUGAUGAGGUAUUAUAAUACCACCACAACACCAGAGUAGCUAGCUGUUGCUGCCCAACUGAAAAGCAAGUUCCAUGAAUGAUCUCAAGAGUGAGAUGACAUCACAUCAAAUUGCCUGCUAGGUAAUAAAGCCAUUUAAAGUAUUCAGAGGAAAUGACCCCAGUCCUCCAACUCUGAAGAAGCUGCCCCAUAACCUGUGAUGCUUACAAACCUGGGAUGAAAUGUGAACAGUACAAAUCCACCUGUGCCUGAAGCCAGCACUUUUACUGUUUCUGUAGGUUUUAUCUGUAUUCCUGCAUGAAGGCAGAAAACGUACAUUAAUAGGAAGCUGAAUUGCCUAGAAAUCUGUAGCGGGCUUGAAGGAAAUUCCCAUAUCCCUACACUAGGACAUUUCAGCACCAGGCAAAGUAUAGCGUCCUUACGGCCAGAGUCUGGUCAGGAACAGGAUUCAGAGUUUAGCAUACAAGCCCCUGUCCAGCACUCAGGGUGUUAAUGUUCUAUCCCUUUCUCUUCCAAUAUACCACAUGACCUUGAAUUUAGGAAAGGUGGAUUUCCAGCUGUCUGUGAAGCGUCUAGCACUUUACCCCAAAGUCAGAUACUCCCAGGUUCUUGCUCACUUGCUGGCUCCACCAGUGUGCUUCCCGCAGGUGAGGCCUUCGUCUCCCCUGCUGCUCAACAUAAGAGUUGCUUUAUUUUGCACCAGGAGGUCCUGGUCUCACAGCCUGCUUCAAAGCUGAGGUGCCAAGAUGGAUCUCUAGAGUCCACAAGCAUUAGUGAGAACAUAGCAGAGCCAGCCUCCUUAGAGGCUUGAUGGAAUGGCUCCCUCUUGGCCUAGCCAGAAAGGCCUGGCAAACAGGUAACAUUUCUGCCCUGAGAUUUCUCCCCAAGAGCCUGGUUGUCCCUUUGUUAAGUCAGGAGAACUAGUCAGGUGACACAAUUUAAAUUCAGGGAACCCAGUGGGACUGAGGUUUUCCCUUUGUUUUUUCCUUCUGAACCACCUAAGAAAGCUUCUAAUAAGACUCUCCCAUCAAGGCUGCAGGGGGCCAUCAUGGGUCUUUUCAGGUGUCUAGGAGGCCAGGAGCUAAACCAAAUAGCAGAAACUCAGCAGCAAAUGGUCUCAAUGGGCAGUCAAGAGGGGUAUAUUGGCCCUAAAGCUUAGCCAGGACCUAAAAGAUCAACGAUUAGCAUCUAAAGUGAAAAGAAUGUCCCAUAGAAUUGACAUUAUUGAGGUAAGUUUCCAUAAAGAGCUUCUGUAGACAUUUUGGGAAAUGCUGUUAAGGGUGGAACAGCUUAGUAACAACCGACUGACCUUUGAUCUCCAAGCACUGUGUGUAAGCUGUAUGCAAUGCCUGCUUAAGUCCAGGAGAUGUACAACCAACAGUACUUGACACUAUAAUACAUAGUGAAUACAAAGGGAACAAGUCAAAAGCCAGGAGAUAAAUCACCUCACUCAGUGCUUGAGUUAAGGCUAAAACCUUGUCAGGUGUCUAAAAUACCCAAACACAGAGCUGACAUUCAGUCCAAGUGGUCCUCCCAUACGAGACUCCAGUGUGUCUGAGAGGGCAGGGCCCCCAGGUGAACCAGCAAUAGCCUGCUCCUGUAUGUUUCCAGGGACAAAAACAGCCCAAACCUGGCAAUUACUGUGGCUGUUUCUAAUAUAGUAUGAAUGUCUCCAGUGUGGAAGGAGUUUGUAUGAGAUCUGGUCGGCCUCACCAAAGCCAUCCCUUUCAAGUUUACCCAUUAUUCUGCAAAGGCAGUUGGUCUCCACCAACUCCCAGGAACAUACUAGUUUCUUUAAAGGGAGGGCCAGAUGGUGCUGUUCCUUUACAUAAGGCUGUAUUCAUACUAC
rnacentral:lncRNA from 1 species